AUUGAACGCUGGCGGAAUGCUUUACACAUGCAAGUCGAACGGCAGCACGGGGCAACCUGGUGGCGAGUGGCGAACGGGUGAGUAAUACAUCGGAACGUGCCCAAUCGUGGGGGAUAACGUAGCGAAAGUUACGCUAAUACCGCAUACGAUCUACGGAUGAAAGCGGGGGAUCGCAAGACCUCGCGCGAGUGGAGCGGCCGAUGUCAGAUUAGGUAGUUGGUGGGGUAAAGGCUCACCAAGCCAACGAUCUGUAGCUGGUCUGAGAGGACGACCAGCCACACUGGAACUGAGACACGGUCCAGACUCCUACGGGAGGCAGCAGUGGGGAAUUUUGGACAAUGGGCGCAAGCCUGAUCCAGCCAUUCCGCGUGCAGGAUGAAGGCCUUCGGGUUGUAAACUGCUUUGUACGGAACGAAACGGCGAGCUCUAAUACAGUUUGCUAAUGACGGUACCGUAAGAAUAAGCACCGGCUAACUACGUGCCAGCAGACCGCGGUAA
rnacentral:rRNA from 1 species